UACAGAGGUGGCAAGCGUUGUUCGGAAUUACUGGGCGUAAAGGGCGCGUAGGCGGCCUUCUAAGUCGGACGUGAAAGCCCCAGGCUUAACCUGGGAACUGCGUCCGAUACUGGGAGGCUUGGAUUCGGGAGAGGGAUGCGGAAUUCCAGGUGUAGCGGUGAAAUGCGUAGAUAUCUGGAGGAACACCGGUGGCGAAGGCGGCAUCCUGGACCGACACUGACACUGAGGAGCGAAAGCCAGGGGAGCAAACGGG
rnacentral:rRNA from 1 species